UUUUUGUUUUAUUACCCGUUAACGUUUCCACAGAAGACCAAAGAGAAACUAUGCUGCUAAUUAAACGCUGUUGAUUGAUUGUCAUCAUCAGGUGUUUGGUAACCAAAUGGAAAGACAUCAGCAGUAAUCUCAGGGGAGGAUCUGUUGUUGCUGCGGAUCAAAAUGUGAGGAUUACAGGCCGCUUCCCAAAUCAUCUGAACUCCGUCACCCAACAGAGAGAAACAAGAAUCGGAAAACUUCAGCGGACUAAACUGAAGAGGAGUUGGGCGUCGCUCCAUCACACUGACGAGAAAAUCCAAACCAACAAUGUUGUAACUCGUCGCAGACUUACAGAGUUAAAAACAACCAGAAAGACACAUUUCAUAUUAAGAAGACAGACUUUGACAUCAGCUUAUUAUUUUUAUUGAUCACUUCAUUUGGCUACAUACAUUUUACAAAUGUGGAAAAUCCCUUCACAUCUGCAACGUGUGUCUGAUGACGAUGGAAGAACAAUGGACGACACGCCUUCUCGCAUUUUUAAACGGCGGUUUCAUCUUUGCGGGGCUCAGCUAUGAUUUCUCAGCACCAAAACAAACUGCAGCUGUUAAAAUGUCGGCUAGCUUCAUCUGAGAGAAGAGAGGUAAACUAACCAGAGAAAUCAUAACUCUGCGCUUCGUGUGAGCAAGAUCAUUAAAAACUGUUCCUCUGCUACUGCAUGACUGGUGAUUUCUGCUGUAAAUUAUAACAAAAAAUAAAAAUCAGCAACGUGUUGUGAUGAAUCCCAUUUUUAUGACCAUUUAUGUCCCAGAAUCUCUUAUCUGCUGCUCUUUAUGCGCUUUUUGCCAAGCAGAUUUCUAAAAUGGCACAAAAAGUAAAUAAUCUGAAGAUAUGUGAUUAUUGGCGCACAGUUUACUCUUCACUAACAGAAGUGGAGAAAUACUAGGAGAAAGUGUAAA